GGCAUCAACCACGGCGCACGUGCCGCUGCCCCACAGCCGGCCUGGGAUCAGGACGCACUCGUCCAGGCGCUCAAUGCCAUGAGCAUGCAGCAAGGGCAGGCACCAUCGAACUCCAGUCGGGACUGGGUACUGGACUCUGGCGCGACCUCACACAUGGCUUCCUCCUCUGGUAUGCUCUCGUCAUCUCGCCCCAGUUUUUCUCCUGACAUCGUAGUUGGUGAUGGAUCAACCCUUGCAGUCACACACAUCGGCCAACACACCAUUCCCACUUCCUCUUAUCCUCUCUCUCUCCAUAACAUCCUUGUCUCUCCCCACUUAAUCAAGAAUCUCAUUUCUGUUAAGGCCCUCGCACGUGAUAAUCUGGUUAAUGUAGAAUUUGAUGACUGUGGUUUUCCUUUCAAGGAUCGAAGAACGAAGGCGAUGAUCCUCCACUCUGACUCGCCGGACGAGCUCUACCCCCUCCACCCAUCACACCCGUCUCAAGCGCCCCAAGCUUUCACUGCAGUUAUCCGUGACACAUGGCAUCGUCGU
rnacentral:rRNA from 1 species